UUGAAUCCAUCAGCAUGUCUCAAGCCUCACCCAUGGAAACCUUUUUGUAAGCUAGAGAAGUUCUGUCUCCAUAGUCAAUUUACAGGGUAGUGCAUAGGCAUUUAGUAGGAAGUGUUCUUUAUCCCUCUGAUUUGUUUUACCAUCUAUGCAAUACUGCAGUCACCAGAUGUAGAAGUAGCUUGUUGCAUUUAAAUGAGGAAAACGAGGGUUCUAGGAACAGUAAUCUGCUGCUAUGUCUCCAAAUUUCAAAGAUCUUCCAUUCUGCAAACAAGUUUAAAGCUUCCCAUUCUUCCUUGAAUCUGAUCGAAGAUCUGCAAGAUCAGCCACCAGGAAUGACAGAAAUUGGUGAUGACGGUUUCUUUUUAAGAAGAGGUGGUAUCAACGUCAGAGGACAAGCCACAGUGCAAAACUACCCGUGGGAAAUUAUGCCUUCUUGUUGCUGUUCGUCUGAGCACAGUUGCAGAACUGGCAGUCAGCUGCACUUGGCAUAUGGAGUCCCAAGGAGAAUGAUGUUGAACUGUCAGCUUACGAUUUGGAGGCGCAAAACCAGUGCCACUGAAUGAAUUUUCUGCAAGACUUCUGAGCUUUGUCAGAUCUCUUCUGACCUUACCAAGCUAUGUGUCAACGUAUUAAAUAUUGACUCAAAUUUUUCUAAGGCGUGAGUAUAACUUUAAAAACACACACAUGGCAGAAUAAGAUAAUAUUCCUUUCUCAUGUCUCAUUCGCU
rnacentral:lncRNA from 1 species